rnacentral:rRNA from 1 species
UACGUAGGGUGCGAGCGUUUGUCCGGAAUUAUUGGGCGUAAAGAGCUCGUAGGCGGCGUGUCGCGUCGGAUGUGAAAGCCCGGGGCUUAACUCCGGGUCUGCAUUCGAUACGGGCAUGCUUGAGUGUGGUAGGGGAGAUCGGAAUUCCUGGUGUAGCGGUGAAAUGCGCAGAUAUCAGGAGGAACACCGGUGGCGAAGGCGGAUCUCUGGGCCAUUACUGACGCUGAGGAGCGAAAGCGUGGGGAGCGAACAGG